CUACCAUGCAAGUCGAGCGCCCAGCAAUGGGAGCGGCAGACGGGUGAGUAACGCGUGGGGAUCUACCCAUUGGUACGGAAUAACCCAGGGAAACUUGGACUAAUACCGUAUGUGCCCUUCGGGGGAAAGAUUUAUCGCCAAUGGAUGAACCCGCGUCGGAUUAGCUAGUUGGUGGGGUAAAGGCUCACCAAGGCGACGAUCCGUAGCUGGUCUGAGAGGAUGAUCAGCCACACUGGGACUGAGACACGGCCCAGACUCCUACGGGAGGCAGCAGUGGGGAAUAUUGGACAAUGGGCGCAAGCCUGAUCCAGCCAUGCCGCGUGAGUGAUGAAGGCCUUAGGGUUGUAAAGCUCUUUCGCCGGUGAAGAUAAUGACGGUAACCGGAGAAGAAGCCCCGGCUAACUUCGUGCCAGCAGCCGCGGUAAUACGAAGGGGGCUAGCGUUGCUCGGAAUCACUGGGCGUAAAGCGCACGUAGGCGGAUCGUUAAGUCAGGGGUGAAAUCCUGGGGCUCAACCUCAGAACUGCCCUUGAUACUGGCGAUCUCGAGUUCGAGAGAGGUUGGUGGAACUCCGAGUGUAGAGGUGAAAUUC
rnacentral:rRNA from 1 species